rnacentral:lncRNA from 1 species
GCCAAUAGGUAGGAAUGGACCUUCUAGAAGAAGGGAAGUAAAUGUCCCACUUCACUUGGAUCACAGGUGAAUUCUGAGUGGGUGUGAAGUAACUGUCAAACAUACACAUCCAGAGGAAAGGCUGGAGUGCUGCAGAAAGUUGAAGCUGUCCUCUGAACAUAUUGAGUUAACUGGUGACGUUUUAUACAGAGAAAGGAAGAUUUAGGACACAUGACAUGGCUGAUUUCAAGUAUUUGAAAGACCAGCUUAGAAAAGCAGAGUGAAUAUGUUCUCCAGCAUCUGAGGAAACAAAACACAGCCAGCAGACGAAAGCUCGAUGAGGGAAGAUUUUGUCUGAUUGUAAAGAGGAGCUUUCUAGCAGUCACAGCGAUGCAGAGACUAAAGAGCUGCUCUGGGAGGUGGUGAGCAUUCUUUCACCAGGGACUCAAGUGGAGGCCACUGAGGGUUGAAAAGGGGAUUCAACACUGGUAGGAUAUUUGAAUCAAAAGAAGAGAAAAGACCCCAGAGUUUCCACGAGCACUGCUCCCCAGUUGACGGGAACUGAGCAGCUCUGCUCCACUACAUCCUUCUGCCAUGACAUUCCUACCUUGGAGCCAACUGACCAUGGACUGAAUCUCCUGAACUGUGAACCAUAUAACCUCUCUUCCUUAAAGCUGUGCGUGUUGGAUAUUGUGUCCUGCAGCUGGACUAAUGAGUUGACUAAUCCAUCAGCUGUGUGACGGCAGAGUCUGCCUGGCCUUGAGUGAUUUUCGCUUGCUCCAAGUUGUCCACCACUUUGUCAGGGUUUGAGAGAACAUCUGCUGCUUUCCUAAGUCCACAGGCACCAGAUACGGAGAUCUCUGGACUCAAAAACGCCUGGAGCAGAGUGAAGCAAGCUAGGGAGCCUUUAGCCCUCCGACUGCGCGGAGGCCCUGAGCAGUGGGCUGAAGACAAAUCAGCCGCCUCACCCCAAGGCCUCGGCCCCGCCCGAGCAAUCUCCCCUUUCUCCCCGUCAGGAAUCCGCCCUCCCUCCGGAGCUCAGACCCACCGCACCAUUGUCAUCUCACUUCGGUCACAUUCCUAGGGCAUUGGUGUGUGUUCCUUCCAUUUCUGCCACUAUAUAUUUUAAAAAUAGGUAUUCAUUUUUGUUUAGAUUUCCAAUGUACUACUCAUCAUAGGAAAUUUAGAGUACCAAAAAAAUGUAAAGAAGAAAAAAAUGCACCAGUAAUCCUACUACCUUAGACGAUAUUGGCAUAUUUGAGCAUUUUGUCCUAACUUCUUUUUCCUUUGCAUGACUGAG